AGUGAACGCUGGCGGUAUGCCUAACACAUGCAAGUCGAACGGCAGCACAGUAAGAGCUUGCUCUUACGGGUGGCGAGUGGCGGACGGGUGAGGAAUACAUCGGAAUCUACUUUUUCGUGGGGGAUAACGUAGGGAAACUUACGCUAAUACCGCAUACGACCUACGGGUGAAAGCAGUGGAUCUUCGGACCUUGCGCGAUUGAAUGAGCCGGUGUCGGAUUAGCUAGUUGGCGGGGUAAAGGCCCACCAAGGCGACGAUCCGUAGCUGGUCUGAGAGGAUGAUCAGCCACACUGGAACUGAGACACGGUCCAGACUCCUACGGGAGGCAGCAGUGGGGAAUAUUGGACAAUGGGCGCAAGCCUGAUCCAGCCAUACCGCGUGGGUGAAGAAGGCCUUCGGGUUGUAAAGCCCUUUUGUUGGGAAAGAAAAGCAGCAGGUUAAUACCCCGCUGUUCUGACGGUACCCAAAGAAUAAGCACCGGCUAACUUCGUG
rnacentral:rRNA from 1 species